GCCCCUGUAGCGCAAUGGAUAGCGCGCGCGUUAGACUUCUAAUUUAAAGGUCGUGGGUUUGAAUCCCACCUGUGAUG